rnacentral:rRNA from 1 species
AGGACGAACGUUGGCGGCGUGCUUAACACAUGCAAGUCGAGCGGAAAGGCCCUUCGGGGUACUCGAGCGGCGAACGGGUGAGUAACACGUGAGUAAUCUGCCCCUAGCUCUGGGAUAGCUCCGGGAAACCGGGAUUAAUACCAGAUACGACCACUUUAGACAUCUGUUGUGGUGGAAAGAAUUUUGGCUAGGGAUGAGCUCGCGGCCUAUCAGCUUGUUGGUGAGGUAACGGCUCACCAAGGCGACGACGGGUAGCCGGGCCUGAGAGGGCGACCGGCCAACGACUGGGACUGAGACACGGCCCAGACUCCUACGGGAGGCAGCAGUGGGGAAUAUUGCGCAAUGGGCGAAAGCCUGACGCAGCGACGCCGCGUGGGGGAUGAAGGCCUUCGGGUUGUAAACCCUUUCAGCAGGGACGAAGCGAAAGUGACGGUACCUGCAGAAGAAGCGCCGGCUAACUACGUGCCAGCAGCCGC